GACGAACCGUGCGAACGUUGUUCGGAAUCACUGGGCUUAAAGGGCGCGUAGGCGGCUCGCCAAGUCAGGGGUGAAAUCCUCCAGCUCAACUGGAGAAGUGCCUUUGAUACUGGCGGGCUCGAGCGAGGUAGGGGCGGGUGGAACUUCCGGUGGAGCGGUGAAAUGCGUUGAUAUCGGAAGGAACGCCGGUGGCGAAAGCGACCCGCUGGACCUCUUCUGACGCUGAGGCGCGAAAGCUAGGGUAGCGAACGGG
rnacentral:rRNA from 1 species